CCCGCCUCUGCCUCCCAAAGUGCUGGGAUUACAGGCAUGAGGUACCGUGCCUGGCCUGCUAAGUGGCUUUUCAUUCUAUCAGAGGAAAAGGAAGCAAUGCAGAUCACUGUGUGGCUUCUGUAGUUUUCUGGGAUAUCCAGCAGGGUGGUAGCUAGUUCUUGGCUUUUCCUGACUCUUCCCUUCACUUAGUCCUUUUAGAGGAAAGAAGCUUGAUUUCUUUCUCUCACUCCAAAAGGCUGCAGGAAGUGUAUCCCUUUCUGCCUUAAGACAAACUGUAAAGACGGCCUGAGGUAAGGACCUGAUUAUUACUUCUGCUUAACAGUCUUAGAAAAGAGUGCAUUAAUGAAAAAGAAAAGAAGGCUUUAAAAGCAGAGUUGAUGAUUUUGCACAGUACUCUUAAAUCUGCAUGUAGCCAAAAGUGAGUGAUUAGGCAGAGUUGAAAUGAAGCAAUGAUCCCACGACAACUGUUCAUUCAGAACAGCUGUUGUUUCUAAGUGUGUACAUAAUCUCACCUGUCAGCUUAGCAAACAGGUUAAAUUCAGAUUCAUCAUUUGUUCCUUUAGUAUUCUGUACAUUAAAUUUGAAGCCUCCAUUUUUAAUAAGUGAAAUGAUUGUGGCAAUGUUGGUUUUUUAAAAGGGAUAUCUUUGUCUAAACUUGUAUGCUUAAAAAAAACAUUUUAAUGCUCACUAUAAAAUUUCAUGACAAUGGGUGAGAAACUAAUAAAAUGGUUUCAAU
rnacentral:lncRNA from 10 species